AUACGGAGGGUGCAAGCGUUAAUCGGAAUUACUGGGCGUAAAGCGUACGUAGGCGGUCCGUUAAGUUAGAUGUGAAAGCCCCGGGCUUAACCUGGGAACUGCAUUUAAAACUGGCGGACUAGAGUUGAGUAGAGGGGAGUGGAAUUUCAGGUGUAGCGGUGAAAUGCGUAGAGAUCUGAAGGAAAACCAGUGGCGAAGGCGACUCCCUGGACUCGAACUGACGCUGAGGUACGAAAGCGUGGGUAGCAAACGGGAUUAGAAACCCGAGUAGUCC
rnacentral:rRNA from 1 species